AAUUGGCUAUUUAUCUGUCCAUUGCAAUGAGAAUUUUAUAAAAUUUGCCUUUUUUUUCUCUCUAUUAAAAAUAGAAGGAAAAACCUCCUCUUUUUCAAUCGAAACACUCCUCGUCCACCGCCGCAUUAGUAAACCCACCUGCGAUGAUCAAGCGCGGUGUCAGUGUAAAAAAGGGAGAGAUCUUCCAAUUUCUCAUAAGAUCAUUCACGAGCUGCACGACGUGAUUUUUCCUGCCUUGUUAAUUUUGGUGGUGGUCUAAUUUUCAGCCAAGGAACAGGAGCAUCUUGAAAGCCAUAUCCUAGCUUCUUGCUGUCAAGAGUAUCUUUAACCUUUACUCGAACCAGCUCUUUAUUCUCAUUCCAGAAUAUUAAUUUUGAUUUAUCUUUAACCUUUCGCGUAAUUAAGAUCAAGCGAUGUUGAUUUAUCUUUUUCUUUCUUUCUUUUCACACUACAACUUCUGGAUCAUGUUGUUAGGAUUUUCUUUAUUGUUGUUAUGAUAUUAAUUUUUUUUUUCUUA